rnacentral:rRNA from 1 species
CUACGUGCCAGCAGCCGCGGUAAUACGGAAGGUCCAGGCGUUAUCCGGAUUUAUUGGGUUUAAAGGGAGCGUAGGCGGACGAUUAAGUCAGCUGUGAAAGUUUGCGGCUCAACCGUAAAAUUGCAGUUGAAACUGGUUGUCUUGAGUGCACGCAGGGAUGUUGGAAUUCAUGGUGUAGCGGUGAAAUGCUUAGAUAUCAUGAAGAACUCCGAUCGCGAAGGCAUAUGUCCGGAGUGCAACUGACGCUGAGGCUCGAAAGUGCGGGUAUCGAACAGGAUUAGAUACCCUGGUAGUCCGCACAGUAAACGAUGAAUACUCGCAGUAUGCGAUAUACUGUAUGCUGCCAAGUGAAAACGUUAAGUAUUCCACCUGGGGAGUACGCCGGCAACGGUGAAACUCAAAGGAAUUGACGGGGGCCCGCACAAGCGGAGGAACAUGUGGUUUAAUUCGAUGAUACGCGAGGAACCUUACCCGGGCU